CCCAAUCACUCACCAAUUAAUUCUGUUUUCAGUUUAUCAAUCAUCAGCCAUUCUCAAAUCUUCAGCUUCAAAUCCAUUCAACAACCAUUGUAGUUAAAAAUUGGAGAAUCAUAGUUAAAGUAAAACAUUGAAGAAUUCUUCAAUUCUAUCUUCUAUCAUCAAAGAUGGAUCGUACUUACUGGAUGCUAAAGCCGAUACCAUAUGGCCUCUACUUGAAGCAAAGUAUCCAUAUCUUAAAACCAUACAAGAUAAACGUGCAAAAGCAUGGA